CAAACGCCACUAAAGUCAAUGAAAAGCUUACCAUAAAAAUUAGAAUGUAAGACAGUUAGCAUGUGAUUGCUUUCACAUUGGAAAGCUCAAGAUGCGCGGCCAAUAGGAAGCUAUUGAGCUUCGACAUGGACAUGCAGUGAAUCGGUGGUCAAGGGCGGAAACAAACGUACCAUUAGUUUUGUUUAUUUUCACCAUCAGUAUUCGAGGCUUGUAGUUCAACUAUUUAGUUUGGCAAGGCCCACUAAUGAUCAAUAUUUCCCUCUUAGCAAUUGCCCAGUUCGUAGGAUAUUUCAGGACAAUGCAGGCCCGCAUUUGCUUGUUGUAAAACCCCGGCCAUUACCGUUACCGGCGAUGCUACCUCAUGACCUUCUCGCCCCCUCUUUUCCACCGUUUGGAAAUCUGACGAGUUUUUACUUUCUGUGGGAUUCGAGUCCGGUACCUAGAGGAUAAGUACCGGGCUCGAAUCCCACGGAAGGCAAAAACUCGCUAUUUCCAACAGAGUGGUUAGGGGGCGAGAAGGUCGUGAGGUAGCAUCGCCGGUAACGGUAAUGGCUGGGGUGUUACACUUGUUCUCCUUUGUUAGUGUAGAGUGGACGGUCACUUGGCACUGUGGAAGAGACAUGUAUGUUUUGCAUCUUACUGUUGUUGAUAAUAGCAUCAGUUAUAAAAUUCCAAAACAUGAAAGUUUAAUGUUUGAAAAUUGAAACUGUGUAAUAGGUCCACUCAUGGAGGAAUACCAAAGAAUAGUGUACAUAAAAGUCCUAGUAUUGACCGCAAGACAAUUCACAGUAUCA